GACGAACGCUGGCGGCGUGCUUAACACAUGCAAGUCGAACGGAAAGGCCCUGCUUUUGUGGGGUGCUCGAGUGGCGAACGGGUGAGUAACACGUGAGUAACCUGCCCUUGACUUUAGGAUAACUUCAGGAAACUGGUGCUAAUACCGGAUAGGAGCUCCUGCUGCAUGGUGGGGGUUGGAAAGUUUCGGCGGUUGGGGAUGGACUCGCGGCUUAUCAGCUUGUUGGUGGGGUAGUGGCUUACCAAGGCUUUGACGGGUAGCCGGCCUGAGAGGGUGAACGGCCACAUUGGGACUGAGAUACGGCCCAGACUCCUACGGGAGGCAGCAGUGGGGAAUAUUGCACAAUGGGCGGAAGCCUGAUGCAGCAACGCCGCGUGCGGGAUGACGGCCUUCGGGUUGUAAACCGCUUUCGCCUGUGACGAAGCGUGAGUGACGGUAAUGGGUAAAGAAGCACCGGCUAACUACGUG
rnacentral:rRNA from 1 species